AUGAACGCUGGCGGCGUGCCUAACCCAUGCAAGUCGCGCGGCAGCGAGGGGUGCUUGCACCCUGUCGGCGAGCGGCGGACGGCUGAGUAACGCGUGGGAACGUGCCCCAAAGUGAGGAAUAGCUGCCCGAAAGGGUAGCUAAUACCGCAUAUUAUCUUCGGAUCAAAGGAUUUAUCCGCUUUGGGAGCGGCUCGCGUCGGAUUAGGUAGUUGGUGAGGUAAUGGCUCACCAAGCCGACGAUCCGUAGCUGGUCUGAGAGGAUGACCAGCCAGACUGGAACUGAGACACGGUCCAGACUCCUACGGGAGGCAGCAGUGAGGAAUCUUCCACAAUGGGCGAAAGCCUGAUGGAGCAACGCCGCGUGCAGGACGAAGGCCUUCGGGUUGUAAACUGCUUUUAUAAGUGAGGAAUAUGACGGUAACUUAUGAAUAAGGAUCGGCUAACUACGUG
rnacentral:rRNA from 1 species